AUGCAAGUCGAGCGGUAGCACAGGAGAGCUUGCUCUUUGGGUGACGAGCGGCGGACGGGUGAGUAAUGUCUGGGAAACUGCCUGAUGGAGGGGGAUAACUACUGGAAACGGUAGCUAAUACCGCAUAACGUCGCAAGACCAAAGCGGGGGACCUUCGGGCCUCGCGCCAUCAGAUGUGCCCAGAUGGGAUUAGCUAGUAGGUGGGGUAAUGGCUCACCUAGGCGACGAUCCCUAGCUGGUCUGAGAGGAUGACCAGCCACACUGGAACUGAGACACGGUCCAGACUCCUACGGGAGGCAGCAGUGGGGAAUAUUGCACAAUGGGCGCAAGCCUGAUGCAGCCAUGCCGCGUGUGUGAAGAAGGCCUUCGGGUUGUAAAGCACUUUCAGCGAGGAGGAAGUCAGUAAGGUUAAUAACCUUGCUGAUUGACGUUACUCGCAGAAGAAGCACCGGCUAACUCCGUGCCAGCAGCCGCGGUAAUACGGAGGGUGCAAGCGUUAAUCGGAAUGACUGGGCGUAAAGCGCACGCAGGCGGUUUGUUAAGUUGGAUGUGAAAUCCCCGGGCUUAACCUGGGAACUGCAUUCAAAACUGGCAAGCUAGAGUCUCGUAGAGGGGGGUAGAAUUCCAGUGUAGCGGUGAAAUGCGUAGAGAUCUGG
rnacentral:rRNA from 1 species